GACGAACGCUGGCGGCGUGCUUAACACAUGCAAGUCGAACGAAGUGGCGAACGGGUGAGUAACGCGUAAUCAACCUGCCCUUCAGGGGGGGACAACAGUUGGAAACGCCUGCUCAUACCGCAUACUGAAGGAGGGGACUGCGUCUGAUUAGCUGGUUGGAGGGGUAACGGCCAACCAAGGAGAUGAUCAGUAGCCGUGCUGAGAGGAUGAACGGCCACAUUGGGACGGAGACACGGCCCAGACUCCUACGGGAGGCAGCAGUGGGGAAUCUUCCGAAAUGGACGAAAGUCUGACGGAGCAACGCCGCGUGAGUGAUGAAGGCUUUCGGGUUGUAAAGCUCUGUUAUGCGGGACGCGGUACCGGAAUAGAAAGCCACGGCUAACUACGUGCCAGCAGCCGCGGUAAUAC
rnacentral:rRNA from 1 species